UACGUAGGGGGCUAGCGUUGUCCGGAAUCAUUGGCGUAAAGAGCGUGUAGGCGGCCCGGUAAGUCCGCUGUGAAAGUCGGGGGCUCAACCCUCGAAUGCCGGUGGAUACUGUCGGGCUAGAGUGCGGAAGAGGCGAGUGGAAUUCCUGGUGUAGCGGUGAAAUGCGCAGAUAUCAGGAGGAACACCGAUGGCGAAGGCAGGUCUCUGGGCCACUACUGACGCUGAGAAGCGAAAGCAUGGGGAGCGAACAGG
rnacentral:rRNA from 1 species